rnacentral:rRNA from 1 species
AUGAACGCUAGCUACAGGCUUAACACAUGCAAGUCGAGGGGCAGCAUGGUCUUAGCUUGCUAAGGCCGAUGGCGACCGGCGCACGGGUGAGUAACACGUAUCCAACCUGCCGUCUACUCUUGGACAGCCUUCUGAAAGGAAGAUUAAUACAAGAUGGCAUCAUGAGUCCGCAUGUUCACAUGAUUAAAGGUAUUCCGGUAGACGAUGGGGAUGCGUUCCAUUAGAUAGUAGGCGGGGUAACGGCCCACCUAGUCUUCGAUGGAUAGGGGUUCUGAGAGGAAGGUCCCCCACAUUGGAACUGAGACACGGUCCAAACUCCUACGGGAGGCAGCAGUGAGGAAUAUUGGUCAAUGGGCGAGAGCCUGAACCAGCCAAGUAGCGUGAAGGAUGACUGCCCUAUGGGUUGUAAACUUCUUUUAUAAAGGAAUAAAGUCGGGUAUGGAUACCCGUUUGCAUGUACUUUAUGAAUAAGGAUCGGCUAACUCCGUGCCAGCAGCCGCGGUAAUACGGAGGAUCCGAGCGUUAUCCGGAUUUAUUGGGUUUAAAGGGAGCGUAGAUGGAUGUUUAAGUCAGUUGUGAAAGUUUGCGGCUCAACCGUAAAAUUGCAGUUGAUACUGGAUAUCUUGAGUGCAGUUGAGGCAGGCGGAAUUCGUGGUGUAGCGGUGAAAUGCUUAGAUAUCACGAAGAACUCCGAUUGCGAAGGCAGCCUGCUAAGCUGCAACUGACAUUGAGGCUCGAAAGUGUGGGUAUCAAACAGGAUUAGAUACCCUGGUAGUCCACACGGUAAACGAUGAAUACUCGCUGUUUGCGAUAUACUGCAAGCGGCCAAGCGAAAGCGUUAAGUAUUCCACCUGGGGAGUACGCCGGCAACGGUGAAACUCAAAGGAAUUGACGGGGGCCCGCACAAGCGGAGGAACAUGUGGUUUAAUUCGAUGAUACGCGAGGAACCUUACCCGGGCUUAAAUUGCAGAUGAAUUACGGUGAAAGCCGUAAGCCGCAAGGCAUCUGUGAAGGUGCUGCAUGGUUGUCGUCAGCUCGUGCCGUGAGGUGUCGGCUUAAGUGCCAUAACGAGCGCAACCCUUGUUGUCAGUUACUAACAGGUUCCGCUGAGGACUCUGACAAGACUGCCAUCGUAAGAUGUGAGGAAGGUGGGGAUGACGUCAAAUCAGCACGGCCCUUACGUCCGGGGCUACACACGUGUUACAAUGGGGGGUACAGAAGGCAGCUACACGGCGACGUGAUGCUAAUCCCGAAAGCCUCUCUCAGUUCGGAUUGGAGUCUGCAACCCGACUCCAUGAAGCUGGAUUCGCUAGUAAUCGCGCAUCAGCCACGGCGCGGUGAAUACGUUCCCGGGCCUUGUACACACCGCCCGUCAAGCCAUGGGAGCCGGGGGUACCUGAAGUGCGUAACCGCGAGGAGCGCCCUAGGGUAAAACUGGUGACUGGGGCU